rnacentral:rRNA from 1 species
UUUGAAAUCUGGUCCCCCCUCCAGGGGCCCGAGUUGUAAUCUGUAGGGGAUGCUUCUGGCGAGGUGCCUAUCAAGUCCACUGGAACGUGGCGCCAUAGAGGGUGAGAGCCCCGUACGGUAGGACCCCGAGCCUCUGUGAAGCUCCUCCGACGAGUCGAGUAGUUUGGGAAUGCUGCUCUAAAUGGGAGGUAAAUUUCUUCUAAAGCUAAAUACCGGCCAGAGACCGAUAGCGCACAAGUAGAGUGAUCGAAAGAUGAAAAGCACUUUGAAAAGAGGGUUAAACAGCACGUGAAAUUGUUGAAAGGGAAGCGCCUGUGACCAGACUCGUGCCCGGCGGAUCAUCCAGCCUUCUGGCUGGUGCACUGCGCCGGGUCCGGGCCAGCAUCGGCUCUCCCUGGGGGAUAAAGGCCCUGGGAACGUAGCUCUCUCCGGGGAGUGUUAUAGCCCAUCGCACAAUGCCUCAGGGGGGGCCGAGGACCGCGCUUCGGCUAGGAUGCUGGCGUAAUGGUCAUCAGCGACCCGUCUUGAAACACGGACCAAGGAGUCAACUAUUGGGGCGAGUCUAUGGGUGCAAAACCCGCUGGCGCAAUGAAAGUGAACGCAGGUGAGAGCUUCGGCGCAUCAUCGACCGAUCCUGAUGUUCUCGGACGGAUUUGAGUAAGAGCCCUAAUAUUUGGACCCGAAAGAUGGUGAACUAUGCCUGGAUAGGGUGAAGCCAGAGGAAACUCUGGUGGAGGCUCGCAGCGGUUCUGACGUGCAAAUCGAUCGUCAAAUUUGGGCAUAGGGGCGAAAGACUAAUCGAACCAUCUAGUAGCUGGUUACCGCCGAAGUUUCCCUCAGGAUAGCAGUGUCGUUUUCAGUUUUAUGAGGUAAAGCGAAUGAUUAGGGACUCGGGGGCGCUAUUUAGCCUUCAUCCAUUCUCAAACUUUAAAUAUGUAAGAAGCCCUCGUUGCUUAGUUGAACGUGGGCGCUCGAAUGUAUCGACACUAGUGGGCCAUUUUUGGUAAGCAGAACUGGCGAUGCGGGAUGAACCGAACGCGGGGUUAAGGUGCCAGAGUGGACGCUCAUCAGACACCACAAAAGGCGUUAGCACAUCUAGACAGCCGGACGGUGGCCAUGGAAGUCGGAACCCGCUAAGGACUGUGUAACAACUCACCGGCCGAAUGUGCUAGCCCUGAAAAUGGAUGGCGCUCAAGCGUCCCACCC